UGGGCCUAUGCUGUGGUCUAGGCCUGGGCCUGCACUGGGUGCAGGGCCUGGGCUUUCCCCUGAACUUGGGUCUGAGCUUGAGCUUGACUUUGGGCCUGAACCUGAGCCUGAGCCAGGUCUAGGUCUGGGGUUGGGGCCAGGGCUUGGCCUGGGCCUGAGCUUGAGCUUGGGCUGAGGCUGGGCCUGGGCCUGAGCUUGGGCUGUGACCCUGUGACCCCCCAGCAGCCCCUCUUCCCUCCCCAGCCGCACACACCCCGCUGGCAUGUUGCCCCACGCGUGACCGAGCCCGGCACAGGAGGUGGGAGGUGGGAGGAAGGGCAGCGCGUGGGGUCCCGCAGCCCGAGGGUGCGUUGUUCUGUGUUAAAUCAAUAACCACAGCAGGGUUUCGCUGUCUCUUUUAGAUCCCAGCUUUCUGCCGUGGUGUUUCAUUAGUUGGUGUCCUUCGUUUGACUUUUAAUGCAACUGGGGACAAUAUGUCGAGGGGGCUGAGUGACGGGGACGUGGUCUUUGUAAUGACUUUAAAGACGGAUGCUUACGUAGGACCAGGCUUUCUGCCCGAGGGAGGAAGCAAGGCUGACAUCAGUCGGAGGGAAAGUAAGCUGGAGCGUUGGCUGAGAGCCUGGGCUGGAAACCGGAGGAAUCUGGAGGAAGAGAGACCGAAAUCUGAAAUAGAUCCCGGCUCGGGCGCUGGUGCUGGAAUGUGCGAAGGAGUCCGGGUCCCGCUGAGCAGAUCCCUGCGGGGAGGCUGGUGGUAUUUAUGGACCUCGACUGAGCCAAGCAGGAGGUACAGGAUGCUGCGUCCCUUCCGUGGGGCUGAGUUGAGAGGUUCAUUUCUGUCACUUUUUAUGGGCUGUUUCUAAAGCGAGACUUGAUUCGGGCUCCAUGGGGGGCAAUUUUCCUCUGUGCUGUGCUGGUUUUAACUCUCCCCUUGACUUUAUGGAGGAGGGCGGCUAAUUGCUAGGCUGCUGGAUGCCUGCCUCUGAUGGGUGAGUCAGGCAGUUGUUAGAGCAGGUGACAACACGCGGGUACCAUUCAGCCGUACCUAAAGCACUGUCAAUCAGCAUUUAUUUGUGCCGUUCAGUUCCCAUUUUGGGUCAUGUGUUCUCACAGCAGCUGGAACACAUGGCUUCAUCUAGUUGGGUGUUCUUCCCUGUCCCUGCCACUUACCUUCCCUUUCUUGUGGGAACGGCUCCUCCAGCUCCCUCAGGUGACCCAUCUCUGUCCUUUGGGGGUUGUCAUGUCUCGUGGCAAGUCCAGGGGAGAGCGAAGUUGUUUUGCGGUAGGGUUGUGGUUCAACAGGCUCCUCCACCAAUUCACCAGCAUCUUCAGUGGUUGGAUGAGGCUGUGUGUUCACCAUUUGAAUGUCAGCCUGUGCGAGGGGCACGGUAGAGCUGUUGUCUAUACUGUGACAGUGUGUCCAUAUCCCUGGUGAGGACUGCAGGGAGAGGUGAGAGCCAGCUGGCAGGUUGGGGAGGGAAGAGGAGACAUGGUUUUGGGCAUGCAGACAAGUGUUGACCUCAGCUGAGGAGCAGUGCUGGUGUGCCCUAACCUUCACCUGCCCUUGUGGAGCUCCAAGCUGUGAGACCCUUGUCCCCAUGGGGUGAAUAUUUGAUGACCUGGGUUACGCCCUUGUAAUGCAGUCCCUAAUAGACAUCACCACCAACGUGGUCUUCCCCCUACACAUCACUUUGCAGUCCUGUUGGGGGUUUCCAUCCUGUCGGGGUCUCCAACGGAAGGGCUGUGUCUGUCCAUCCGCCAUUCUUGUGUGGAUCUGCAGUUCUUCCUAAUUUUCAGUCUGGAUUUUUUCAUCCACUGACAAAUCCUCAGCAGAAGGACCUGACCGAAUAACCUAGGAGAACUCCAAAGCAUGAACAAAGGUGCUUAGUGUGGAAUGAAGAGAACAAUUUUCCCCCUGGAUUUGGUAAUAACCCUGAGGUGCAAAUGAU